GCUGGAGCCUUUAACCUCCAUUCACUGUAGCAGGAGUGGUAUGCACCAUAAAAACCACCUGUAGAGAAACUGACAUGACAAGAGUUGAUUGAGAAGCUCAGUGCUGGCAGCUGAAGUAGACUUCUGGUCACAGCCCACAGGUCUUGUGGCAGCUGGUGCCAAGUGGCAGUAUCUUCCCUAAACCCAGUGUCCCUGGGAAAGGUGCUCAGCUUCACCUCUGGCUGAACCAGCAAAUGGGACAACAGCAGAUGGAUCCCUUGGGCUGGACAGAAACCCCAUGUUCCUGGGCACACCUGUCUGCCCAGCAGGAUGAAAUCCUUGGCAAGAGCAGCUGGAUAAGAUAGUCACUUUCUUGACAUCCCUUAAAAGCUACUACAAGACCUACAGACUGUUUCAAAAUUCCUCAGCUCUGCUCAUUAACCUACAAGAAUCUUGGUUUUAUUUUACAAGAGGAGUUUCAGGGAACUGAAGCAGACAGUGUAUGAGAAAUCCUUCAGAGGACAAAAGGACAAGAUCUACAGACUCCUAAGUAUUAGCAGCUUAUAGAGGUGACAUCUGCAUAAGAAGGGAACAAAGCUGACUCACAUAAGA